GGUGGUUAGGUUGGCCGAUCAAAGUCGGACCAGAUCAUUUAUUGGUUAGAUGGGCUAAGCAUAGUCAUGUUAAUGGUUGGACUUAACCAGGACUUGUAGAGAUGGCCAAAGCCAAUUGAACAAAAACUUAGGGCAAAAUUAAUUACUAAAAAUUAUUUAGAGAAAUAAUUGAUUAAGAACCUACCCAUAGAUGCACAUAGAUUGACUGGCCA
rnacentral:lncRNA from 1 species